rnacentral:rRNA from 1 species
CUCCAGACUCCUACGGGAGGCAGCAGUGGGGAAUAUUGCACAAUGGGGGAAACCCUGAUGCAGCGACGCCGCGUGAAGGAAGAAGUAUUUCGGUAUGUAAACUUCUAUCAGCAGGGAAGAAAAUGACGGUACCUGACUAAGAAGCCCCGGCUAACUACGUGCCAGCAGCCGCGGUAAUACGUAGGGGGCAAGCGUUAUCCGGAUUUACUGGGUGUAAAGGGGGCGCAGACGGCAGCGCAAGCCAGGAGUGAAAGCCCGGGGCCCAACCCCGGGACUGCGCUUGGAACUGCGCGGCUGGAGUGCAGGAGGGGCAGGCGGAAUUCCUGGUGUAGCGGUGAAAUGCGUAGAUAUCAGGAGGAACACCGGUGGCGAAGGCGGCCUGCUGGACUGCGGCUGACGUUGAGGCCCGAAAGCGUGGGGAGCAAACAGGAUUAGAUACCCCAGUACA